UACGUAGGGUGCAAGCGUUGUCCGGAAUUAUUGGGCGUAAAGAGCUCGUAGGCGGUCUGUCGCGUCGGCUGUGAAAUCCCGAGGCUCAACCUCGGGCCUGCAGUGGGUACGGGCAGACUGGAGUGCGGUAGGGGAGAAUGGAAUUCCUGGUGUAGCGGUGGAAUGCGCAGAUAUCAGGAGGAACACCGAUGGCGAAGGCAGUUCUCUGGGCCGUAACUGACGCUGAGGAGCGAAAGCGUGGGGAGCGAACAGG
rnacentral:rRNA from 1 species